rnacentral:lncRNA from 1 species
CACGAGGCCAAUCCUGGAGGAAUUGCUGCCUGGCUUUUCUCACGCUGACCUUGCAUUGGAAAGGGAAGAGACUCUCCUGUUUGUACACACACAUCUGACAGAAGGUAGUGGUGGAUCUGCAUGGCACACAGCUCUCUAACAGCUCAUCUGUAUUGCUGCAAGGCUUCGCAAUCUCAUUCUGCUGUCCACUGAGCAGGAAAGUCACCCAGCCCUAUCACAGGUGGGGACAUCUCGUGUGGGAGACCCAAACCCACUCCUGCCCCAGGGCUGCAGCAAGCCACUGCCAAACUCUGCAGGAUUGGCAUCCACCCUGUCCCUAACUCACCAGUAGAGAUGGGUUUGGUUUCCCUCACUCCUUCACGGACACAAGGGGCAACAGGAGGAGAAGACAUCCAGCAGAAGACCCCACAUGGCAGUAAGGGGCAAUGGCUGUGCCAUUGUGAUGCCUGGAGCUCCAAACAAAGCCCCCCAGAGACCCAUCUGAGCAAACAAAGACCUCACAGCACUCAAGAUUUUCUCUCCCAUUCCAUCAUCCCUCCACACAUUCGACCAUCAGGGAUCCAUGAAUGCAGAGCUACAAAUGAUGCCCUGCCAGCUGAUGAGCGAUCAGCUCUGACUCUCUCUGCCCUCCUUUUAACCUCUAUAAAAGCUGAAUAAUUGAUCACGCUUUCUUCCUCCACUCUUCUGUUCUGCUCAGACAGCCUUUGCCUGCUCUCCA